AAUAAGAAAGUAUUAGAAAAAAAUCUACAUCUAGUUAAACUUAAAAAAGAAGAAUUUAAUUUGUCUUGCAUCUGAUAAAAAAAAAGGGGGAAAAAAAUAUGUACUGUGUUAGUAGAAAGUUAGUUGUUGGAGAAAGAAGACGACGUUGGUUAUAAUGUAAAUCAGCAGGAGCUUCUAAUGGAUGCAAAGUGACAAUGAUGAAUGGGUGUCCAUAUCUGGAGAUAGCAUUUCCAUCCGCAGACACGCCCGCUGGCCUCGCUACACAAAAAGACACCACACCAAUUGCUUUUUCUUGAUGAUGUUUCUCUAUCCUUCGGAUUUACUCUAUAUUAAAGUACUUUGAUCCGAAAGGUGUUGUGAAGCCACAAGUGGAUGAGGAAAUAAUUGAGGCGACAUUGAGGGGGCAGAGAGGGUGCUGUCUCCGUGAAAGAUAUCUAUGAGACAUGUAGUCUUGGCCAACGUUUUGGAACCGGUUAGCCUGUGGAAGAAGUCGCAUUGCUUGCAGGUGCGUUGUCUCGUUUCUCACCUACUCUCUGGACCAUGAAGAUCUCUUACAAUGUCAAGUAUCGUGUGAUACGGACUUUACAGUACAUAAACUUAUGUGAAAGAAGCCUCACAAGUCCAUGAUUGCGUAAGGUUCUCACAGAUUAAAACUGCACUAGAUUUUUAUCGAAGAUCAUCAAACCGUUCAUCCAGAUUUGUAAAAAAUAAACUAGGAAGGGUGUGUGACAAAGAAGAAACAAGCUAACCUUGAAAAAUCAAAGGACAAUUUCUUCCUCCAUACAAUUAAUGAGUAGGGUUUAUAAUGAAUGACUCACUAAAAAAAGGGAUUUUCCCUUUUUCCUAUAUGACCAUCAAAUAAUUAUUAUCCUUUGUAAAAGGGGAAGACUUAUCAUUACUUAACUGCUUAAUUUAAGCAAACGAGCAUCGUGCGAUCAGGGAAAAUACACUCUAUAAGGAAGUCCCCAAACAU